CACGUAGGGGGCAAGCGUUGUCCGGAUUUAUUGGGCGUAAAGAGCUCGUAGGUGGUUCGAUAAGUCGGGUGUGAAACCUCCAGGCUCAACCUGGAGACGCCACCCGAUACUGUCGUGACUAGAGUCCAGUAGGGGAGCGUGGAAUUCCUGGUGUAGCGGUGAAAUGCGCAGAUAUCAGGAGGAACACCAGCGGCGAAGGCGGCUCUCUGGGCCGAUACUGACGCUGAGGAGCGAAAGCGUGGGGAGCGAACAGG
rnacentral:rRNA from 1 species